CCCCACUACAACUCCACCUCCACCCCCAAGUCCACUUCCACUCAUACUUUUCAUUGAAGGACCGCCAAGAUUUGGACUUUUAUUACUACUAACAUUGCCAUUACCAAUACCAGUAGCAUUAACAUUACUGCUGUUUAUAUUGUAUCCACCAGAAUAACUCCCAAAAUUAUUAGAUCCCCUAUCAUUACCACUUUUCACUGAAUCACUCGAUUUGGGCAAUGAAUCAGCCAGAUUUCCUAUCGAAAAUGCACUAUUCUUCGAUGUGGGUGUAGCAUUUUUCAAAGGAACAUUGAUAUUACCCUCAUUUCCUUGCCCCAAAGCAGAGCUAACCAGAUCCCCAAACAAAUUUGGGUUCUUCUCCGCGAUCCCAAUCCCAGAACCUGAAGCUGUUGAAUUCCAGCUCUUCCCAAAUAUAUCGCCCACCAUCGAAGUGGGUCCGUUGAGUCCAGGCCGAGUAGGUUGACUCGGUGAGGGUUGGUGAGUCCAGGAGGGUUUGUUGGGUUGCCACGCAGGCUUUGCUUGUGUAGUUGUUGAAGAUGCAUAUGAGAAAUAUGAAGAGGAAGUUUGGUUCUUUUGCUCGUUGAGGGAUUUGGAUCGGUUGGAGCCGAGCCCGAAAUCAAAAUUGAAGUUGUUUAAGGACCCAGAUGAACCUUUCCCAUAGUUGAGAGUUCAUUUUGGCCUGCUAAUUUGAGAGCGAGAAAGCCAAUAUCAGAGAAUCCAAACAAGGCGCAUCGGAGAAAGGAGAAAAGGGUAAUGUGAAAGAGUGGUUUUUGGGUGUCCGAUGGAAGGAAAACCAGAAGGCGAUGUGAAGGCCUCUUCGUAUAAUUUUCUAUUUUCAAUGGAAUCGAAUUUCAGAAUCCUGCUGCCUGCUGCUACAGGAAGGGUUAAUUUUCCUCCCCUUUUACAGUUGCUUUUGGAGAGUCGUUUAUG
rnacentral:misc_RNA from 1 species